GUGCUCACUUCAGCAGCACAUAGACUAAAAUUAGAAUGCUACAGAGAUGAUUAGCAUGGCCCCUGUGCAAGGAUGACAUGCACAUUCAUGAAGCAUUCUGUAUUUAA
ensembl:snRNA U6 U6 spliceosomal RNA